rnacentral:lncRNA from 1 species
GUCUCUCUUUGUGUGUUGUUAAUUGUAAUUCACAAAUACCAAAAUUCAAAUACUGUACAGACUUUCUGUAUAUUUUAUUCAUUUGUGUAGAGGUUCCAUCCUCUGUAUUUCAUUUACAACUUAUACAAAAACAAUCCUUUGAAUUAAAAAUACAUUUUAUUACACCAACUUGUAUUUACAUUUUCAUGACUAGAAUAUACAUUUUUACUUUGGGCAUUACUUUGGCUACAGAGUAUUCUAUAAUAUUUUGUUGAGGCGCCAGGGUGACUACCGAUUACUAUACACAAUGGCUAUCAGCUGACCUAUGUUGACAUAGUGUCAUAAAUCCCUGGUAGUUAAACACGGUUACACCACCACCUACCAUGGGGAGUGACCGGGGAAAACACUCGUAUUACCAAUGCUCCAGUUAUUAGUGCCCACCUGUUGGCAGGUGUAGGCCUCCCCUCUAUAAGAUGAGGUGGAGGAGGUC